AACGGGGGAUGCAAGUGUUAUCCGGAAUUACUGGGCGUAAAGCGUUUGUAGGUGGUUUAAUAAGUCAACUGUUAAAUCUUGAAGCUUAACUUUAAAACUGUAGUUGAAACUGUUAAACUAGAGUAUAGUAGAGGUAGAAGGAAUUUCCAGUGGAGUGGUGAAAUGCGUAGAUAUUGGAAAGAACACCGACAGCGAAAGCAUUUUACUGGGCUAUUACUGACACUCAGAAACUAAAGCUAGGGUAGCGAAUGGG
rnacentral:rRNA from 1 species